rnacentral:rRNA from 1 species
GUCUAUGGCCAUCCCACCCUGAACAUGCCUGAUCCCGUCUGAUCUCGGAAGCUAAGCAGGGUCGGGCCUGGUUAGUACUUGGAUGGGAGACCACCUAGGAAGACCAGGUGCUGCUGUAG